rnacentral:lncRNA from 1 species
AGAGUUGUAGGCAAGUAGUUGGACAAAAAGCAAGAAGCUGAUCGAUGUUGCUGGCUUUGGAUUCUUUGUGAACAAAUGAGACAAGGUGAGUAGCUGCCCUGCUCAACUCCCUCUUCGUUUUGGUGUGGGGCGGGGGUGGGGGUGGGGAGGGAAAGGUUCUGAUGACUGCAAUCCUGGUGUCGGAUCUUGGUCUGUUGGAAAACAACGGGCUCGCCGGCCCCUGUAGGAAGACCUAGGCAAUGUCUGCAUGCUGCCUGUGCAGCCCAUGGAGGGGUUAGAAAUAGUAGGAUUGCUUGUAGAGAGAGAACAAUCACUCAAUUGUCAGAUUUUUUUUUUUCACUUUUCAUCCACACGCUGGGUGGCUUUGUAGCACAGUCGGAGAUACUGUGUUGAGGAGCCUUUGCUCAUGGCAAUGUUUCCUCUGUUCACUUUCUGCUGCUUCUGCAUUGGAAAAUUCCGUCCUUUAACACUGGGAUUAUAUGUCACCGUUGCUGAAAUCAUAGACAGAGUCCACUUAAUUUGGUGCGAGCAUGAGAAAUAGCCAGAGAAUGGGAGAAGCAUAGCAUUCCCUUGUAUAAAGAGAGGAUUGAAUAAGGUCAGUGAACCAGAGACAGCAGGUCACAAACCCUCAGAGGGUCAUGAAAAUGUUCCCUGGUUUCCUGCCUUUGGGAGCAAAACGGAUGCCUGUUUAAAUUUUUUAAAAAAUUAUUGAAGAUUAGCCAUGAUACUUGUUUGAGCUGGGUGAGAUAUUUGAGGGCUCAUUAUACUAGUUUCUGUACUUUUGCACAUUUUUGAAAAUUUCAAAUGAUAAAACAUUUUUUACGAAAUAUUUAAAUACCUCCCUGCUUCAUCUCAGAACGAUUCCAGAGCCCCUGAGUGGGUCCCAUGUACGCAUGCGUGGCAGUAGGGGCUGCUCAACUGAGCAUGCUCGUGAUUUGGCCUCAGUCAAUUUCACUGUGUGCUGAGCCCCCAACGAUGCUAACCCCUGUGCGGUUUCAAAUGGCCUUUAUUCUUAGCCAUAUGUUCUUUGGCCCAUAUCCUAAAUGGAUCAUUUGUUAAAGGCUAGAAACAUUAGCAACACAGAUGUUGAAAUUCAUGUUAAUAAUUCAGUAAAUUGCCUCAUGAUAAUCUUCACUUUAUCUGAAGAUGGCCUUUGUCUCGUCAAAGUCUGCCCCUGGACCUCAGAAACCCAGUGUUACAGAAAGAAAAGACAGGGACAGUUAUGUCUAAUUUUGGUUUUCAUUUAUAGAGAACAAAUGGUUGUAAAGAAGUGAUUACAAAUAGCAGCUAGCUGAUAUUUUAAGCACAAAAUAUAAGAAUUUCAGACAUGAGGUCAUGAAAGCAAUUUUUGAUGCCCCAAUUCCUGGUUAAUUUCAAUUUUUAUUUUAAUCUGAGCACCCAACAGCUGACACAAAAUAACUCUUUUAUUGACUUCCUCCUUGUAUCUGGUGGCCCUGAAAUGGUUAUCAUAAAAUUUAUUGUGUAGUCACUGUUUCCUAGCUCUUGUGGACACAGAAAUGGUAGAAGUUUCUAGAAAUGAGGCAUGUAGGUACAUUGUAAGGUUUAUGGGUUUUAGCCACACACUCUUGAAACUUGGUGUUAAUCUUCACAUUUGAUUAAAAUUUUAAAUAUAUUGAUAUUAAAGAUUGUAGCUAACAUGAAAUUUAUGUUGACGAAAUAGAAAAUAUUUUGACUAUCAGUUUCUACUUUUGCAUACACACUAUAGUAGAUAUCUUCUGUGUGUAUCUCUCACCUUCUGACCCAUCUUCCACACCAGCCAUUGCUGGAGCAGCCAGCUUUGCGCAGGUGUAACCAGAAGGUGCCUUGUUUCAGCUGCACUGCGUCUCUCCAUUUCUGCCCUGGGCCUCUCUGACACAGUGUCCUGGUAUUGAGGCUUGUGCAACCUGGAAGUGUAAGGGAGUCAACAUUCUAUGAGGAAAUUCUUGGCCAAAAGGGGGUGGGAGUCUAUAAAUUAGUACUCCCUUUUUUCUUCCCCUAGGCUGCAAAUUCAGAGGAUCCUCCCAGAAGAUAAGAUGGAGCAGGUCACCACCUUCUUCCCUGCUUCACACCCUCAGGCCCCGACUCUUGUCUGCUGAGAUCACUCUCCAAACCAAUCUUCCCUUACAAAGCCCUUGUUGCAGGCUAUGCUUUCUGAGGGGAACCCAGGCCAAGACACUAAAAUGACACACCAACAUGAAGACAUGAACACAAUUGCAAAGGGAUUGGUUGGAUUGCAUAUCUCUGUGAAUGGGACUCAAGAGAAGUUUGGGAAAUGCUGGACCAGAUGACCCUUGCAAUCAUGGUGCACAGAAUUAAAACCGUCAAGUUCCCCAUCCAUCUCUGAGAUGGAUGAGAAUCUGAGUCUUCCACAAGAUGCCCAAGACUUGUUAAACCCGUGGAAUGUCUUUGGCUGCCAGAGGGAUGCUAACACCGCCCACGUGCUGCAGCAGGACUUUGGAAGGGGAACCAGCACUGUAAUGAAGUGUUGGGUUGGCUCAAGUCUUGUCUGGACCACAAACCAUUUUUCAACCACUAGUGUGCCUUUAAAACCCAAACCAACUGUGAGAGUGGUUUUCUACUUUGAUUCUAGAUGGGAAAAUAUUUUGCUUUUUUGGUGGAUGACAGUGUCAGGUCCCAAAUGGAUUUGGUUUCAUCCUCCAGCACGCAUGCAUAUAACGUGAAACAUGCCCACACUCUGCAAGGGCCACAGCCACCCCACCAUUAUGUUCCAAGGCAAAUAUGCGUCCGCGGGUCCCCGGGAAAGUAAAGGAGUUUCACAUUGAGGAGCCGAGCCACACAGUCUAGCAGUUCUGAUGUCUCUCCAAGGCCCACAGAUCCUGGUCUACUAACUUAAGGCCCCUUUUGUCUAAAAUAGUGAUGUACAUUAAAUGCAAAGGGCAAAUGGAACCAUUGAAAAGUACUUUUUGCAUCCAAAACAGCCAACGCUUUGGUGCCUGCUAUGUGUCAGACACUGAUUCUUCUGUCAUCCUUAUUCUACUGAUGAGGCAACUGAGGCAGCUUCAGAGAGUUCGAGUAACCUGCGGAUCACACAACUAGGAAGUAAGAGAGCUGGAACUUGACGUUGGGCUGUUGACCUCCAGAAAUGGUGUUUUUUCCAGUACUCAGUGCUGCCUCUGACUCCAUUGUGAUGGUUGAUUUUAUGUGUCAACUUGACUGGGCCCAGGGGUACCCAGAUAUUUGGUCAAACAUUAUUCUGGGUGUUUCUGUGAGGGCGUUUUGGGUGAGAUUAACAUUUAAAUUGGUAGACUGAGUAAAGCAGAUGGCCCUCUAUGAUAUGGCCAGGCCUCAUCCAAUCCAUUGAAAGCCUGAAUGGAACAAAAAGGCCAACCCUCCCUCAGUAGGAGGAAAUUUCGUCUGCUUGACUGCAUUCAAACUAGGACGUCAACUUUUUCCUGCCUUUGGACUUGAAUAGAAACAUCAGCUCUUCCUAGAUCUUCAACCUGCCAGGCUUCAGAUUGAAGUUUAUACCAUCAGCUCUCUUGGUUCUUGGGCCUUUGGACCCAGACUGUAAGUGCACCAUCCGUUCUCUUGGGUCUUGCUUGCUGACUCACCCUGCAGAUUUGGGGACUUAUCAGCCUCUAAUUCUGUGAGCCAAUUCCUUCUAAUAUAUCUCUCUAUACGCAUCCUGUCUCACUGGAAGAACCCUGAUACGGUUAGGCUUUGUGUCCUCAUUCAAAUCUCAUCUUGAAUUGUAAAUCCCAUAAUCCCCAUAAUCCCCAUGUGUCAGGGGAGGGAUCAGGUGGAGGUAAUUGCAUCAUGGGAGCAGUUUCCCCUGUGCUCUUCUCACGAUAGUGAAAGAGUUCUCACAAGAUCUGAUGGUUUUAUAAGGGGCUCUUCCCCCUUUGCUCUGCACUUCCCCUUCCUGCUGCCUUGUGGCCUUGUGAAGAAGGUGUCUUGCUUCCCCUUUGCCCUCCUCCAUGAUUGUAAGUUUCCUGAGGCCUCCCCAGUCAUGCAGAACUGUGAGUCAAUUAAACCUCUGUCCUUUAUAAAUUACCCAGUCUCAGGCGGUUCUUUAUACCAGUGUGAGAAUGGACUAAUACAAACCCUAAUACAUCAAUUUCUUUUUUGAUCUACCAGGCAAUCCUGUGAAGUAGAUGGGUCAGGUAAUAUCAUUGCUAUUUGACAGAUGAGGGAGAACAAGACCUAGCAAAUGAACACGCAUGUGUUACAUGCUCACAUAGUCACACACAUGCUCGCAUGCGUGCGCGUGCACACACACACACACACACAUAUACAUACAGACCACGCACUUCAGGACGAAGGUCAGAAUCCAGGUCUAAUCAUUUAAGUAAGUGCUUCUUCCCCAGGGUGUCCACAGAGCAGCCAGCCAUGGAGGGCAGUGCUAACUUACUUUUAAAAUGUCCUUAAUGUCCAGGAUCACGAUAGCAAGUCCCCCUUCAUGCAGAAAAAUCUGCCUCUGAGUAUCUGGGUGUGCAGAGGAGCUACUACUAUUAUUCUGUUCCUCACAUUCCAUACUGUAAGUUCCAGCUACAGAGAAUAUUGUAGCAAAGUGCUAGCAAACCUAGCACGUUCCCACCUGGAGACAGCGAAUCCAGAGAGUGGAUCCUCGAGGAUAAAAUUAUCCCCCAAACGAUUGCAUGUUGAGUGGGACAAGGAUAUCUGGCCAGUAGAAUGUCUGUAUAAGAGAAGGCAGAAAUCUCAUUAUCUUUGUUGGCUGAUGUAAAAUCCAAGGCCAUGCAAUGUGUUAAGACUGCUGUCACUUAUCCUAGGUGAUGACUCAGUCUAUUUACUUGCAAGUCUUUCUGUUUUGCAAAGCCACCCCCGCUUCAGGAUUUAGAAGAAAUAGGGUUCUCCCCCACCUGCUCUGGUCUUCACGAUAUCCACUCUGGCAGGCCAGGGCCAUAGUCGAGCUGUUAAAUAUUGAAGAUGUGUCGUCCUGAUUGUAUUUAAGUAGUAUUUCAUUGAAAGUGAGUGGAAGAUGGGAGAAGCAAUGUUUAUACAUCUUCAACUGCUCUUAUCAAGCAGACAGAAGUUCAGACGGAGGUGGCUGUGACCUUUUACUGCUGUUUAUAAGCAGCAGGGAAAUAUAUUUUGGGUUUUGGCAGCCACAAGAUCCCUGCAUAAUCCACCAGUCCUCCCCCGUACUCCCACCUCCCACCUCAAUCAUUUUUGUAUUGAAAUGUCUGCAGAAAAUGGAUGUGGAAUGGCACUAUUGUCUUGGGUAAGUAAGUUUUUCACUCAAGGCACAAAACCCCUGUCAUACACCUACCUCUGGUUCUACAGGAGCCUGUGAACUCGUGCCAGAAGAGGAAAGGCUGAGCUGAUACUGCAAAGAUGUGGCAGCAGAUGGGAACUUGUGCCUGCAAGUGGGGAGCCUUGGUUUUAAUGAAUGAAAUCUAGCAAGUUCCCAUCUGGAGAUAGUGAAUCCAGGAAGAGGAUCUUGGAUUGGACAAGUGGAUGGGAUUCAGUUUGGCCAAAGGGCCAGAAAAAACUCUCAUUCUUUAAAUGAAAACCUUCUCGUCUCUUCCAACCUCCUAGUCUUAGGACAAGAUCAUUUUUAAAAGGUCUAGUUUUGUGGCUUCACACUAUGAACUAGCUGUUGUGAGUCCCAAAGAAGAAAAGAGCAUUACUUUUUUCAUUUAAAAAGUGAGCUUCAAACUCACUAGUUCUGCCUGAAGCCAGAAGCUUCCGAUUUCCACCGGCAUCUCUGUAACCGGCAUCUCUCUAAUGGGAUAAUGGGUAGUUUUCAUACUUCGAAAAGCACUGCUUUUUGUCUCUGCCGGUUGAGUAAGCUUUUGCAAGCAGGGUUGAACAAGAAACACCGUUUUGGAUGGCAAUGGUUUUAUUUACAUUAUACUCACCUAGGAGCUUGUUUUCAUGGAGGGGCUCAAAUGUGCUGGACAAUGGACUCUGAAUUAAGGAGGAGUGUGGAGAUCAUUGAAACAUUUGCUCUAGGGGAAGAAAUCAAGCAAAGAGACCUAUUCAUUCACAUUGACCUUGGAGAUAGAUAUCAAGUAAUGGGGCAAUUCAGGGCUAAUUAUUUCCUCUGGGGAGAGCAGGACUCCCAUUGGGUGUCCCAUUGGCUGUGGGUCUCUCCCUCCUGCAGUCUCAGGACCAGGAGUGUCAGAUGCCAUUCCCCAGUGGGCUGCUACCUUUGAUGCGUGCUGACAUUGUCUGGUCACAUUCCACUCCAUGAGUUGUCCUCAGCAGCCAGCCAGCCCUGGUGCCAUUGGCCAUGCCACAGUAUAACAUAGACCUGACUGUUUGAAACAGGUGGCUUUCUACUUGGGUCCCCUCUGGGAUAUUCUCAGCAUGCAAAAGGGGUUUGUUUGCACAUUCAGCAUACUUAGGCAGGCUUUAGAAAUAUUGACUUAAGUGGAAAUUGCCUCAAAAAAUACAGAUACCAGCUGGGCAUGGUGUCUCAUGCCUGUAAUCCCAGCACUUUGGGAGGCCGAGGUGGGAGGAUCACCUGAGGUCAGGAGUUCGAAACCAGCCUGGCCAACAUGGUGAAACCCCACCUCCACAAAAAUACCAAAAUUAGCCAGGCAUGAUGGCAGGUGCCUGUAAUCCCAGCUACUCAGGAGGCUGAGGUGGGAGAAUCGCUUGAACCCAGGAGGUGGGGUUUGCAGUGAGCCAAGACUGUGCCAUUGCACUCCAGCCUGGGUGACAGAGUGAGAGUCAGUCUCAAAAAAAUACAGAGUGAGAGACAGUCUCAAAAAAAUAAAAAUAAGUAAAUAAAAUACAGAUACCUCACCCCACCAUCAGAUCAAAGAAGCAGAGUCACCUGGGGAUGUGACCCAGGCAUUGGCACUUAAAAAUCUUCCCAGGUAGGUGCAUCUGGUUUGAAAACGACUGAACACAGGAAAUGAAAGCUAUUUCUUAGCUACGUUUGUGGGGAUUUCUUGGUCUCUGUCUCUCACUGUGGGUGGUGCAUGACAUUUGUAGGUGUGGACUAAAGGCCACAGGAGAGUGUUCAUGCCCCUGGGAGGGGUUUCAUGGUUGGUGGCCCUGUUGUUAGGGAAACGGGCAGUGCAUGGGCUAAGCCCACCUGGCAGGUGGACACAAACACACACUCUCAAACCCUCUUCCCGGUUGAAAAACUCUCACAUGAGUCCUGUGGUUGGGCACGCAGGGUAUCCAGGAGCCACAGAAGCUGCUGUCCCCAUGACCUCAACUUCGAGUCUGCGCUCUAAUUCUUUCUCACCUGUAUCCUGGUUUCUCAUUGAUUAAGAAGACAUUUAGUUGAUGCCAGUGAUGUUAAUGACUCAUCUUAUGACUCUUGGGGACUUUCUCUGCCCUGUAAAUACCACAUCCCUCUUCUACCAAAUAAAUGUUAUUAUUAUUAUUAUUAUUAUUAUUAUUAUUAUUAUUAUUAUUUUUGUAGCCCAUGGCCCAGUCUAAUUAUGACAAAAAGGUUUACAAAGAGACACACUUUAAAGAUAGGGACAUGGAUGGGCUCAAGACGGUAAAGGAUGUGCUGUAUUCUGCAAACCCAAGCAUAGAAGCAUAGAAGACUGGAAUGGCUAUCUUAAGAUCAGACAAAUCGGACUUCCAGGUAUACAGCGUGAACCGAAACAAUUCCCACAGACAUCCCCUCCCUGUCUCUCACCCCUACACCGUCUUGGUACUAGGUGCUUCAGACCCUGCAGCUGGGCUGUGUCUAUGUGAUAUGGCCUGCGUCCAGUGGUAUGGUUUGGCUGUGUCCCCACCCAAAUAUCUUGAAUUGCAGCUCCCAUAAUUCCCACUUAUUGUGGGAGGGACCUGGUGGGAGAUAACUGAAUCAUGGGGACGUUUCCCCCACACUGUUCUUGUAGUGAAUAAGUCUCACAAGAUCUGACGGUUUUAUAAGGAGUUUUCCCUUUUGCUUGGCUCUCGUUCUCUCUUGUCUGCCACCAUGUAAGACAUGCCUUUCACUUUCUGCCAUAAUUGUGAGGCCUCCCCAGCCAUGUGGAACUGUGAGUCCAUUAAACCUCUUUUUCUUUAUAAAUUACCCAGUCUCGAGUAUGUCUGUGUCAGCAGUGUGAAAAUGGACUAAUACAGACAGGCAUCUUGGUCAGGUUGCUUGGGUUGGGUGCCUUGGUUCCCACUUUGGGUGUUCCCCAGACCCUCUGAGUCUCCACAGCUGCUCCUGAUGUUGCCUGGCUCCGGAUUCUUCCUCCCUUCCUUCCCCUUCUCCUCUCAUCUCCCAGGCCUUUGGCAUAAUCUCAUCCAGGAAUUUAGUUUUUACCAAAGCCAGGAAGAAUCUUUUCAGCCAGCUGAAAUCCCUAAGGUCAGGAAGUGUGAAGCUGGGCCACUAGCCAGGAUUUGAUGUGGGUGAGAAUAAAGAGAACUGAACCCAGAUUAGUAUUUUAACAGAGGGUCCUAUAAGGCCUUGAGAGCGUGACACUUUCCCCAGGUGCCCACCAUCAGGGAUCAUUGUUUCUGCCUCCUGGGCUCCUCCAGGCUCUCACCUCUGUCUAGGUCAUCGCUUUGGAGGUACUGGGCUUUCUUGGCCCCUCCCCAAACUUUAACCCAUUUAAGGCAGCCGUCACUUUUUGCAGGGCCUCCAAGCUCACUCAGAAAUCUUGUGUUGAAUGGUGCAGAGCUAAGUUGUUCACUCUGCAGUAUCAUAUUAGAAGAGAUUUGGUUUACCCUGAAUCCACUCUGACGAUGUUUGUUCGUUUGACCUUCAGGUGUGCAAGUUGGUUGUCUUCAGGGAAGAGAGCAGUUCUCACUCAACAAUCAGACAUAACUCUGUCUUAUAACAAAAUUGCACCCAUGGAGCGUCUAGGAACUCCCUACCCAAAGUGUGGUCUGUGGGCCAGCAGCACCUGCGUCAUCUGGGAACUUGUAAGAAAUGGGAUUCUUAGCAGAUCCCAGACCCUGCUGCAUCAGAACCUGCAUUUUAAUGAGAUCCCAGAACCCCAGGUUUGUGGCGGGACGGGGGCAAUGCAAUCCACAUGUUCUGGGCGCUUUGCAGGUAAGGGUGGCCAAUGAGAUGUAAGCAGAAGUCACUGGGAGAUACCAGGCAGGAAAACGCUUUCUCAGGGGAAUCCACUCAGUUACGAGCAUCCUCUGACCUAUAAUUCCGCACCCCUCUCCCCCUUUGUCCUGCUCUGGAGUCCCAGUGGCCUGUUGGAGAUGACCAUUACCCAACAACCGAUGUCAAUGCAGCCUCCUUCCAGACUUUUUAUUUUAUAUAUAUUUAAAAAAAUCUAAUUUGUCCAAGUCAGUCUUUCAGGAGUUUGAUAUUUGCAGGUGAGCACAACUCCUUACUUGCACACAACCUAUAUAUCCAAAAAUAGGGGCUUGACGAAUACAUUGUCAUUUAUCCACACAAUGAAAUGCUAUACAGCAUUAAAAAAUCAUGCAGAACUGUGGUUUCAAAUUAUUUCUAGUAAAGGACACCUCCACUUUUUCAUAAUCAGUCUUUCUAGAAUCCCAGUGUACAGAACUGUUUAGAAGUAGAGCUCUCCCACUUUGGGAGGCUGAGGCAGGCGGAUCACUUGAGGUUGGGAGUUCCGGACCAGCCUGGCCAACAUGGUGAAACCCGGUCUCUACUAAAAAUGCAAAAACAAGCUGGGUGUGGUGGCAGGCACCUGUGGUCCCGCUGCUCUGGAGGCUGAGGCAUAAGAGUAGCUUGAACCCAAGAGGCGGAGGUUGCAGAGAGCAGGGAUUGCAGCACUGCACUACAGCCUGGUGACAGAGCAAGACUGUGUCUCAAAAAAGAAAAAAAAAAAAGAAAGGAUAUUAAAGUCAUUAAGGUCCCUGAAAAUGGCUAUAACAACAACAAAAAAAAUGUGACUUACAAAAAGAAACCUACAGACUUGUCAACCAAAUGUAACGUGUGAACUCUGGAUCCUACUCUGUAUAUUGACCAAAUAUCUGACGAUUUGAAGAACUCUUUGGGAAUUUUAUUUUAUUUUCUAAAUUUGUUUGUUACUGGGGCU